UGGGGAAUCUUGCGCAAUGGGCGAAAGCCUGACGCAGCAACGCCGCGUGCGAGAGGAAGGCCUUAGGGUUGUAAAUCGCUUUCGGCAGGGACGAAAUUGACGGUACCUGCAGAAGAAGCCCCGGCCAACUACGUGCCAGCAGCCGCGGUAACACGUAGGGGGCGAGCGUUGUCCGGAUUUAUUGGGCGUAAAGAGCUCGUAGGCGGCUCAGUAAGUCUGCUGUUAAAGCUCCAGGCUCAACCUGGAGAGGCCAGUGGAUACUGCUGUGGCUAGAGUCCGGUAGGGGAGCGUGGAAUUCCCAGUGUAGCGGUGGAAUGCGCAGAUAUUGGGAGGAACACCAGCGGCGAAGGCGGCGCUCUGGACCGGAACUGACGCUGAGGAGCGAAAGCGUGGGUAGCAAACAGG
rnacentral:rRNA from 1 species